GCCCGCGUGGCGGAAUUGGCAGACGCGCUAGAUUCAGGUUCUAGUGUCCGAAAGGACGUGGAUGUUCGAAUCAUCUCGCGGGCACCA
rnacentral:tRNA from 1 species